rnacentral:misc_RNA from 1 species
GAAAUGCGAUAAGUAAUGUGAAUUGCAGAAUUCAGUGAAUCAUCGAAUCUUUGAACGCACCUUGCGCUCCUUGGUAUUCCUUGGAGCAUGCCUGUUUGAGUAUCAUGAAAUCUUCAAAGUAAAUCUUUUGUUAAGUCAAUUGGUUUCUACUUUGGUAUUGGAGGUCUUUGCAGCUUCACACCUGCUCCUCUUUGUUCAUUAGCUGGAUCUCAGUGUUAUGCUUGGUUCCACUCGGCGUGAUAAGUUAUCUAUCGCUGAGGACACUGUAAAAGGUGGCCAAGGUAAAUGCAGAUGAACCGCUUCUAAUAGUCCAUUGACUUGGACAAUACUUUUAUGAUCUGAUCUCAAAUCAGGUAGGACUACCCGCUGAACUUAAGC